AUGGCGAGUUUCCCCCGAAUCUUGACCCUGACUGACCCCUAUGAUGUCACUCGUCACCUGGUCAGUGUCUGUCAGUCAGUUACUCCGACGUCGAAGAUGUCUGACAAGAAACGAAAAUAUCUUUUUGGCCAUGAAAAACGACAAAAGAAGAGAAGCAAGAAGUUAAAGUAUCCAGGUAAUCCCCAGAAAGUCUCCAGUGGACUUUCCCAUUCAUUUCCCGGGACAGGGUGACAACAAGAGUGAUGAUAUUCCCUCUAAAACCCACUUUCAACAUGAGGAGGAAAAAGCGCCAUUACCCAUGACAUCUUUCAGUUUCCCCUCUGCUUCUCUCCCUCUGUUGGAGUCAGAGGGGAACUGAAACUGAAAAUAAGGCUGAUAGAAAGAAAUAGGGUAGAAAUGGAGAAGAGGAGAGAGAGGGGUGCGUAUGCUGCAGUACAUAAACAUGAGAGCAGCUGGUGAUCUCAGCUGGAGAUCUGCAACCCCAAUCACAGCACAGACUGUUCACUUCACUGUCUGCCAUCACUGACGGCCUUCCAGCUCACUAAACUCAACCGAUACCGCAGGUGUUUCAUAGCUGCUUUUAGACAUGUAAACACUCCUGUAGCCCUCGUGUUAAAUUACUUAUCUGUAACUCUAGUGUCAGUGUAGACAGCUUUGUUGACUGUAAUGUGAUGAGCUCUGUUGCAUCAUUAUGUCUUUAAAGGAAAUUUCUGGAUCGCUACAUUCAUAAAAAUGCAAAUGCAGUAAUGCAUUUACAAUGAAAGUCUAAGGGGAAAAGCACUGCACCUAAAUAACAUUAAAAUACCAGUUUCCUAAAGUAUGAGUGUGAUAAAUUUACUCACAAACCUUGCAAAGUUAAAUGCAUUGUUUCAGCUGAACAUGAACAUGUAAAGACAGUAGGUAACCUAGAUGUUACAGCAUCUGUGCAAACUUACCUGCAGUAAAUCAUGAUGUUUCCUCUCACUCUGAACCUGAUGAAUCAGCAGCUUCACUUUUGUGUAUUUAUACUUAAGAACAGACCCAGAGCUGUUGAAAAGUCUUAUAAAAAGCUAAGAAUUCAGUCAUUUGGAAUAUGUGCUAAUAAAAAGACGAGUGAUUUAUUUUAAAUAGUUGCACUUUGGGUUCCCUUGCUGGGUUUCCUUUUUUCUCCUCACUCUGGGAGAAAGCGACCUUCAACGGCCAGUUGCUGACAACAUAGCUAUUCCAAUGUGGCUAUAAUGGAAUCAUCUAGUUGGGAAUUAGAGACAACCCCAUAACCCAGACGCUUUUGCCUAUGAGUUUUAGAAAGCAUUUGAGUAUUUAGGACAUUUUCCACUUUGUGUCGGUGGGCAAAAGUAACAAAACCAGACCCACAAGAGAAGCUGGUUCUACUGUCUCUGUACACCUGCACAAAACUAACUGGUCUAGAUGGGAGGAAAGUGGCAAGCAACACUUGCUCGGGCACAUGUGCAUGCAAAUUACCCACAAAUAAAGGGUUUUCACCUGAACUGUAAGGUGUGGUAGAUUUGACUGUUCUUCAAAGACGAUUCUUGUCAGAAAGCUCUGACCUCACAGUCACUGUGUAGAACUGACAGCAGCUGAGUACAAAUUGUUGUCACAACUGUUUUAUCUGCAAAGAAAUCAACCCCUUAAGGCUGGA
ensembl:lncRNA